AGACUAGAGUCCCACUAUCAACACCCAAAGCUGAAGUUCUAUUUAAACUAUUCCCUG
rnacentral:tRNA from 1 species